rnacentral:rRNA from 1 species
UACGUGAGCCCCCAAGCGUUAUCCGGAAUUACUGGGUGUAGAGUGUGCGUAGGCGGUUUUGUUAGUCUCCUGCUAAAUCCAUCGGCUCAACCGGUGAACUCCAGGGGAAACGGCAAGACUAGAGGGUGCGAGAGGUCUGUGGAACUCAACAUGUAGGGGUGAAAUCCGUUGAUAUGUUGGGGAACACCUAAAGCGAAGGCAACAGACUGGCGCAUUCCUGACGCUGAGGCACGAAAGCGUGGGUAGCGAAUGGGAUUAGAAACCCCGGUAGU